ensembl:lncRNA
GUUUAGGUUUAGGAGUUACAAUUAGGUUUAGGAGUUACAAUUAGGUUUAGGUUUAGGAGUUACAAUUAGGUUUAGGAGUUACAAUUAGGUUUAGGAGUUACAAUAAGGUUAGGAGUUACAAUUAGGUUUAGGAGUUACAAUUAGGUUUAGGAGUUACAAUUAGGUUUAGGUUUAGGAGUUACAAUUAGGUUUAGGAGUUACAAUUAGGUUUAGGAGUUACAAUUAGGUUUAGGAGUUACAAUUAGGUUUAGGAGUUACAAUUAGGUUUAGGUAUAGGAGUUACGAUUAGGUUUAGGAGUUACAAUUAGGUUUAGGAGUUACAAUUAGGUUUAGG